rnacentral:rRNA from 1 species
ACUGCUCAGUAACACGUGGACAACCUGCCCUUAGGUUGGGUAUAAACCCGGGAAACUGGGUAUAAUACCCGAUAGGUCUCGAUUGCUGGAAUGCAUCGAGAUUUAAAGCUCCGGCGCCUAAGGAUGGGUCUGCGGCCUAUCAGGUAGUAGUGGGUGUAGCGUACCUACUAGCCUACGACGGGUACGGGUUGUGAGAGCAAGAGCCCGGAGAUGGAUUCUGAGACACGAAUCCAGGCCCUACGGGGUGCAGCAGGCGCGAAAACUUUACAAUGCUGGCAACAGCGAUAAGGGAACCUCGAGUGCCAGGUUACAAAUCUGGCUGUCGAGAUGCCUAAAAAGCAUUUCAUAGCAAGGGCCGGGCGAGACCGGUGCCAGCCGCCGCGGUAACACCGGCGGCUCGAGUGGUAACCGUUAUUAUUGGGUCUAAAGGGUCUGUAGCCGGCCGGAUAAGUCUCUUGAGAAAUCUGGCAGCUUAACUGUCAGGCUUUCAGGAGAUACUGUCUGGCUCGAGGCCGGGAGAGGUGAGAGGUACUUCAGGGGUAGGGGUGAAAUCUUGUAAUCCUUGAAGGACCACCAGUGGCGAAGGCGUCUCACCAGAACGGACCUGACGGCAAGGGACGAAAGCUAGGGGCACGAACCGGAUUAGAUACCCGGGUAGUCCUAGCCGUAAACGAUACUCGCUAGGUGUCGGCCACGGUGCGACCGUUGUCGGUGCCGUAGGGAAGCCGUGAAGCGAGCCACCUGGGAAGUACGGCCGCAAGGCUGAAACUUAAAGGAAUUGGCGGGGGAGCAC